UGCUAGACGAAGACUCUCCUCAGCCACAGC
rnacentral:piRNA from 1 species